rnacentral:rRNA from 1 species
GAUGAACGCUGGCGGCGUGCCUAAUACAUGCAAGUCGAGCGAACGGACGAGAAGCUUGCUUCUCUGAUGUUAGCGGCGGACGGGUGAGUAACACGUGGAUAACCUACCUAUAAGACUGGGAUAACUUCGGGAAACCGGAGCUAAUACCGGAUAAUAUUUUGAACCGCAUGGUUCAAAAGUGAAAGACGGUCUUGCUGUCACUUAUAGAUGGAUCCGCGCUGCAUUAGCUAGUUGGUAAGGUAACGGCUUACCAAGGCAACGAUGCAUAGCCGACCUGAGAGGGUGAUCGGCCACACUGGAACUGAGACACGGUCCAGACUCCUACGGGAGGCAGCAGUAGGGAAUCUUCCGCAAUGGGCGAAAGCCUGACGGAGCAACGCCGCGUGAGUGAUGAAGGUCUUCGGAUCGUAAAACUCUGUUAUUAGGGAAGAACAUAUGUGUAAGUAACUGUGCACAUCUUGACGGUACCUAAUCAGAAAGCCACGGCUAACUACGUGCCAGCAGCCGCGGUAAUACGUAGGUGGCAAGCGUUAUCCGGAAUUAUUGGGCGUAAAGCGCGCGUAGGCGGUUUUUUAAGUCUGAUGUGAAAGCCCACGGCUCAACCGUGGAGGGUCAUUGGAAACUGGAAAACUUGAGUGCAGAAGAGGAAAGUGGAAUUCCAUGUGUAGCGGUGAAAUGCGCAGAGAUAUGGAGGAACACCAGUGGCGAAGGCGACUUUCUGGUCUGUAACUGACGCUGAUGUGCGAAAGCGUGGGGAUCAAACAGGAUUAGAUACCCUGGUAGUCCACGCCGUAAACGAUGAGUGCUAAGUGUUAGGGGGUUUCCGCCCCUUAGUGCUGCAGCUAACGCAUUAAGCACUCCGCCUGGGGAGUACGACCGCAAGGUUGAAACUCAAAGGAAUUGACGGGGACCCGCACAAGCGGUGGAGCAUGUGGUUUAAUUCGAAGCAACGCGAAGAACCUUACCAAAUCUUGACAUCCUUUGACAACUCUAGAGAUAGAGCCUUCCCCUUCGGGGGACAAAGUGACAGGUGGUGCAUGGUUGUCGUCAGCUCGUAUCGUGAGAUGUUGGGUUAAGUCCCGCAACGAGCGCAACCCUUAAGCUUAGUUGCCAUCAUUAAGUUGGGCACUCUAAGUUGACUGCCGGUGACAAACCGGAGGAAGGUGGGGAUGACGUCAAAUCAUCAUGCCCCUUAUGAUUUGGGCUACACACGUGCUACAAUGGACAAUACAAAGGGCAGCGAAACCGCGAGGUCAAGCAAAUCCCAUAAAGUUGUUCUCAGUUCGGAUUGUAGUCUGCAACUCGACUACAUGAAGCUGGAAUCGCUAGUAAUCGUAGAUCAGCAUGCUACGGUGAAUACGUUCCCGGGUCU